GAAAUACAAAGAUUAAUAACACAGAAUAAAUCAUAGUUAAUUACUGGGAAGAGAUGGAAGGCAACUUCAGUGGUUGUAUCAUCUUACUGGAUGGAAUUGGAGGGGGAAAUUUAAUGUAAUUGUCACAAACACAAGGCCAAAAAAAAACAUUACAAGUUCAGUUCCUUGAACUUUCUGUUUCUAGGAAGUGUGUUGCUCAUUAGCUGUGGGAGAAAUACAGUCACAGCUGGCGAAAGCUUUCAGAAUUUACGUGCAGACAGAAAAUGCUGGAAGUCAUGACUGAGUCUUUCUCAAUAAGGAAGUGACCUGAAAGAAUGUUUGUGAAGAAUGUGGAGGGUCAACCAGCACCUGAAAGGCUGGGGAAAGGAAGAGAAGAGGAAAACCUUCUUUUGCUAAUGUUAUCAGUGGAGACCAUCCCAGGCUCUUGGCAUUUUGAACAAAGACUUGACCAGCCAGUGGCUGUGUGGCCUAAUGGAUAAGGCAUCUGACUUCAGAUCAGAAGAUUGCAGCUCCUGUGUCCCCAGCUUUAGCUCAACCCUCCUGAGAGAGUGGGUAUUCUUUUGAAUGGUCAAAGGAAAAAGAAGGUAUCAAUACAACUGUGACGAAAAGAUAAGCAAUUUGGGCCUUUAGGAAGUUUGUGAACAUGGAAGACAAAUAACCAACUAGAACGGUCCUGACAUCUUCAUAACUGCAGUCUGCGGAAGUAAAAAGGAAUGAGAUUGCAUCUCACUAUGUUGCCCAGGCUCAUCUUGAACUCCUGGACUCAAGCGAUUCAACUGCCUUGGCCUCCAAAAGUGCUGAGAUUACAGGCGUGAGUCCCCAUGCCUAGCCAAGAUGACCUUUUCAACAAACGGUAUUUAGCCUAAUGGAUAUCCACAUCUUGACCCCUACCUCACAUUAUACACAAAUCUCAAUUCUAAAUAAAUUGUAGUUCCACAUCUAAAAAGACAAUACAUCCUCUAGAAGAAAUCAUAGAAUAUUUUCAUUUAUUCAGGGAAGGAAAAGAUGGUUUAAAUGGGACAGAAAAACUGCCAAUGAAAAAGGAUAUAAUUAAAAUGAACUACAUUAAAAUUUUAAAAUUCUGAAUUUCUUAUCAAAGAUACUAAGACUAAAAAUACAAGGCACUCAGUAGAUAUAAAAAGUCAGUCAAUGGACUUGUACCUAGAAUAUAUAAAGAACUAAUCAAUAAAAAAUAGACAUCUAGGCUGGGCAUGGUGGCUUACACCUGUAAUCUCAGCACUUUGGG